CAAAGCCGCGACGCGCUCCCGCAUCUGUUUUGAUUCUGCCGAAGAGAGCCUCAAAAACUCCCAACCGAGAUCCACAAUGGCUUUUAUUAAAGAAGAAUGCGUAGACAUUAAGAUUGAAGACGCAUUUGAGGUGAAGCAAGAAGAUACAGAGCAACAAAUAGGUCCGACGUCCCUGAAAGAGGAGUAUAAUUUACCGAGCGAAACGGAGGAGAAGCAUCAGCUGAAGAAGCAGCAUGACUCCGCACCUGGAGAAACUGCGGCGCAGCCUAAAAAGAGAGGCCCGAAGCUGAAGCCUCUGCCGCCGAUAAUCUGCUCUUAUUGCGGCAAGCGUUUCAACCAGCACGGAAACCUCACGGCCCACCUGCGAAUCCACACCGGAGAAAAGCCUUUCACCUGCCAGGAGUGCGGCAAGUGCUUCACGCAAAAAGCGCACGUCAAAGUCCACAUGAAGGUCCACACCGAAGAGAGCUCCUUCACCUGCCAGCAGUGCGGAAAGUACUUCAACCGGAAGACCAACUUCAUGUUCCACAUGAGGGCCCACGCCGAAGAGAGGCCUUCCGUGUGCCCGCUGUGUGGGAAGAAAUUUAGCAAGAAAGGAAACCUCAAGGAGCACAUGCGCAUUCACUCCGGGGAGAAGCCGUACGCGUGCGCCCAGUGCGGAAAGGGCUUCGGGCGGAAAGGAAACCUCCGGGAUCACAUGAGGAUCCACACCGGAGUCAAGCCGUACGCCUGCCAGCACUGCGAGAAGAGCUUCAGCCAGCUGAGCAACUUGAAAAUCCACAUGAAGGUCCACAGCGGAGAGGGCUCCUUCGCCGGCGGUUUCAGCUGCCGACAGUGCGGGAAGAGUUUCGAUCAGCAGGGCAACCUCAAGAACCACAUGAUAAUCCACACCGGAGAGAAGCCGUUCGUGUGCGACCAGUGCGGGAAGAGCUUCAACCUCAAAGGAAAUCUGAAGGUUCACAGCAGGGUUCACAGCAGGGACAGCCCUUUCACCUGCCAGCAGUGCGGGAAGACGUUUACCCGGAAAGGCAGCCUCAAGGUCCACGCCAGGGUCCACACCGGAGAGCACCCUUUCGUGUGCGUCCAGUGCGGAAAGAGUUUCCCGCACAAGAAAAACCUGAAGUCGCACGUGACGAUCCACACCGGAGAGAAGCCGUUCGCGUGCCGUCAGUGCGGGAAGAGCUUCAGAUACAAAUUCACCCUCAACAACCACAUGAGGGUUCACUCGGCGGAGAACUAGGGGGAGCGGAGCGGCUCCAGGGUCGCCAAUCGGAGGCCUUUCAACGGACUGAGGGAAAUCAGUCGUUGAGAAGGAAGGCUGGAAUGAGUUUCACGCUAAAAGCAAACGUUAGCCUUCCCGUGCCGUAGCUUCGGCGGGAGAGGGUUAGGUAUAUCGGACGGGCUCGAGGACGUUAUUCGUUCCGGAAAACGAAAUUGCGCGGUACACCUUUCAGUUGGAUCGCUGUCAUAAAGAGUCGCGGGCACAUGUGAAGUGAGCGUUCCCAGUGCAGAUACAAACGAUUUGACGUGGAAAACCUUCCUUUUGAGGUCGCUUUUUAGUAGAAUGGAUUUUUUCGGACAUCGUUUUUUCCCCCUGUUCGACACGGUAUAUCUCAAUUGCAUAAAGUGAUCUCUAAAUAAAGGUUACAUGACUUGGGUUUACUUAAGCGUUUUGCCCAAAAUCGUCGAACCUUGCACGAAGCCACUUGAUGGUCAUUUCUGAAAGUGUACACUUGGGUUACGUUUCUUUGAUAAAGUUGGCUUUUCGAAGUAUAUUCCAUUAGACGUGCACACUUCAGGAAACUUCAUCCAUGUCCAUGUUUUUUAACCCUUCUAAACUAAAGCGAAGGUGACUCUUUAAUUAUAUGCAAGGGUGUAACUUCCCGUUUCCCAAAAUCCCAUUUCCUGCAUUUACAUAGGAUUGUUUUUUUUUUUAUGUUUAGGGACUAUGGCGAUGAUAGAAAAUCCAAAAAUAGUAAGUUAAUUAUAAUGAUAAAUUCUGCCAAAAAGAACAGCAGGCUACUACUACGAUAAUAAAGAUGGUUUUAUAAAGUUAAAAAUGUGUGCGAAUAAGAUUUAAACGAGACUUAAGUUCCACUGCGCAACAAAAUUUUACUGUACCUGAAAAUGCAUAAGGCUUUAUUAAUGAACAAAUUUCAAUAUUUGAUAAUUUUCUGUACAGGACAGAUUCAUUUUUAUGCAUCCAAACCUAUAUUAUACCAGGGUAGGAAGUAAUAAACUUCUGUAAUAAACAAAAGGAUGGAUACGGUAAUAAAUACAAUAGAUGCACUAUUAUCUAUGAACUAUUUUUAGAAUAAAAAAAUGUGUUUCAUCCAAUAACAUUUGCUACUCAAUUUAUCCAAAUACGUUUUGAUAGUUUCUGAUAACUAUGUUCUUCGAAAGUUUGAUUUUCUGCACACUGAGAUGUCAUUUUAGGCAUCUUUAGCACAAAAACAAUACUCCAAUCCAUAUUUUCAGAUGAUUUCCCCCCGAAGGAAGCAUAUAAACACUAAACAAUGAAAAAGGUCACAUUAAUAUUCUAAAUUAAUGUAGAUUUGUGGCGUAUGAUAUUGAAAUAAUACUCAUCUUUCCAUUGAAGGCUCAGAGAGCGAGGGAGAGCAUCAGCUAAAUCAGACAGGUACAGGUAAAACUGUUAAUCUGGAAGGGAUAUGCUAGAGUUUGAUACAAAGUAAGGCAGACACAUAUUUUGUAAAGUUUAGACAGCGGGUUAACAGGACUUUUAUUUUCGCCUGGCGUAGUGUCGUCAUAAGUAUGCGCCGCGCCCCGCUGUAUGUUGUGAUUCGGCUAAAGAAAGGUAUGGGUUUUAACCGUUAGGCGCUCAAAAUAGUGCAAACCAUUAGUGCAGUUUUACUUUUUUUUUUACAAGCGCUGUAAAAUGAAUUAUUAUUAAAUGUAACGUCGCAAUAUUUUUUUUUCCUAACAUUAACGAGCAUUGUUUUGGCUAAGCGCGUCCACGCGUGAAUGAAAGACAGGCGCGUAUUAUUUCUCUCCCCGAAUAAGUAAAGCAAACUCGAAUUCGGUCACUUCCGAGCAGAGAUGAAGAAAGCGAGCUUUUCGCUAGCGCGAGUCAAUUGAAUCAAUUGUUUGGUGAAAUGAUUCACUGUUUGAAACGCUCGACUCGCCUCGCGCUACCGAGUCCCGCUGCUCGAAACUUUAAAUGUAACGCGUUCACGAGAAGCAUUCUGUUUAUAUAAUCUACAAAACAAAUCCCGAAUUCAAAACAUAAACGUCUAAAUGUUUUUGUCUAAUUUAAAUUCUUUUAUGUUAGUUUUGAGGUCAUUUAAGGCCACUAACUCUAUCUCUGACUGCUCCUCAACCAGUGAGCUGAUUGAGAUUUGGGAUUUAUUUCCUUGGAUUUAUCUCACAUCCUGGUGAAUCAGCUAAGAUCAGUGUGACGCGGUUAUAAAGAUGAUGUUUAUUAAAGAGGAGAGUGAAGACGUGAAGAUUGAAGACACAUUGGGAGUCAAAAAAGAAGAACAAACAGACUGGAUGGUGCUGAAGACGGAGGGUCAAGAACGGGAUGAAACGGAAGAGCAGGGUCGAUAUGAGAAACGCAGUGAUUUCAUGACCGAAGGGAAAUUCGUUCGGACGAAAAGACUUCAGGGGCUCAGAAAGCCUCGUCUACCAGUUCUUUAAACUGCCCUCAGUGUGGUACGGGUUUCACUCAAAAACAAAGCCUCGCAGUCCACAU